AUAUUUGGAAGAGACAGGGUUUCGCCAUACACUACCUUUUCUAUAUUGAGAUAUGUUUAGAUACACAAACACUUAUUAUUGUGCUACAAUUGGCUUUAGUAUUUGGAACAUGCUGUACACAUUUGUAGCCCAGAAACAAUAGUCUAUACCAUCUAGCUUAGGUGUUUGGUAGAGACUGGAGAAAAGAGAAAAUCAGUUCGUGGUUGCAUUAUGGAUGCCAAUCUGAGUGUUCUCAACUUGGUUAUUGUAAAAAAAGGAGAGAAGGAUAUUCCUGGACUGACUGAUACUACAAUGCCUCACCGCCUGGCACCCAAAAGAGCUAGCAGAAUCCGCAAACUUCUCAAUCUCUCUAAAGAAGUUGAUGUCCGCUGGUAUGUCACAAGAAAGCCCUUAAACAAAGAAGGUAAGAAACCUAGGACCAAAGCGCCCAAGAUUCAGUGUCUUGUUACUCUUCACGUCCUGCAGCACAAACGGCAGUGUACUGCUCUGAAAAAGCAGCAUACUAAGAAAAAUAAGGAAGAGGCUGCAGGAUAUGCUGAACUUUGGCCAAGAGAAUGAAGGAAGCUAAAGAGAAGUGCCAAGAACAAAUUGCGAAGAGACGCAGACUUUCUUCUCCGCGAGCUUCUAAGUCUGAAUCCAGUCAGAAAUAAGAUUAUUUGAGUAACAAAUAAGUAAGAUCGGACUCAAAAA